UGGAUGGGCCUGGGAGGGCAUAGGCACACCCACUGGGGACCCAGGCCCAGCCAAUCAGAAUGAGUUUUUCCUCACAAAUGGUAUUUAUUCUAGACAGAAAUACUCUCUUUAGGUUCAGUGACACUUAUGUUGAUACACCUGAAAUCGGAGAGUUAAAAUAGUUUUUCUUACCCUCGUAUUCUACAAAUAUUUCCCCCCAUCUCCCAGGCUACAUUUCACCUGACUAAGGCUGUUGGAAAGGCUCUGGUUGCCAGUGGAGCUCCGAAACGCUCCAUCAUUGCUGUGGGCAGCAUUGUGGGUAAGUCUGUAAGACCUAACCCUUCUCCCUCUCUGUGUAGAGAGGAAGCUGAUGGAUCCUAACACAUUCCCAGUAGAGGACUCUGGCUACAUCACUGGAACCAGUGUUGAAGUAGCAGAGGCCUUUUCAUUGGCUGAGACAACAUUCCAUCAUCCUCAUGAAGAUCCCAUCUAGGGUCCAGUAAUUGUAUAUGUCUUCAACGUUCACACUGUGCCUUCGCGUGUGAUAAUACAACCGAUUGGGGAUCAAUCUUGUUUUGUAAAUCUAGUCAAUAUCUUAGUGUAAAUGUGCAAUAAAUUGAAACCUGUUGUGGCGAGAGUUGAGUGCUCUCCCAAUUUAACCGAG